rnacentral:rRNA from 1 species
UGACCAGAGGGAAAAGGAGCAAUCCGCUUUGAGAUGGCCUCGCGUCCGAUUAGCUAGUUGGUGAGGUAACGGCCCACCAAGGCAACGAUCGGUAGCCGGACUGAGAGGUUGAACGGCCACAUUGGGACUGAGACACGGCCCAGACUCCUACGGGAGGCAGCAGUGGGGAAUAUUGCACAAUGGGGGAAACCCUGAUGCAGCGACGCCGCGUGGAGGAAGAAGGUCUUCGGAUUGUAAACUCCUGUUGUUGAGGAAGAUAAUGACGGUACUCAACAAGGAAGUGACGGCUAACUACGUGCCAGCAGCCGCGGUAAAACGUAGGUCACAAGCGUUGUCCGGAAUUACUGGGUGUAAAGGGAGCGCAGGCGGGAAGACAAGUUGGAAGUGAAAUCUAUGGGCUCAACCCAUAAACUGCUUUCAAAACUGUUUUUCUUGAGUAGUGCAGAGGUAGGCGGAAUUCCCGGUGUAGCGGUGGAAUGCGUAGAUAUCGGGAGGAACACCAGUGGCGAAGGCGGCCUACUGGGCACCAACUGACGCUGAGGCUCGAAAGUGUGGGUAGCAAACAGGAUUAGAUACCCUGGUAGUCCACACCGUAAACGAUGAUUACUAGGUGUUGGAGGAUUGACCCCUUCAGUGCCGCAGUUAACACAAUAAGUAAUCCACCUGGGGAGUACGACCGCAAGGUUGAAACUCAAAGGAAUUGACGGGGGCCCGCACAAGCAGUGGAGUAUGUGGUUUAAUUCGACGCAACGCGAAGAACCUUACCAAGUCUUGACAUCCUGCGACGCACAUAGAAAUAUGUGUUUCCUUCGGGACGCAGAGACAGGUGGUGCAUGGUUGUCGUCAGCUCGUGUCGUGAGAUGUUGGGUUAAGUCCCGCAACGAGCGCAACCCUUACUGUCAGUUACUACGCAAGAGGACUCUGGCAGGACUGCCGUUGACAAAACGGAGGAAGGUGGGGAUGACGUCAAAUCAUCAUGCCCUUUAUGACUUGGGCUACACACGUACUACAAUGGCGUUAAACAAAGAGAAGCAAGACCGCGAGGUGGAGCAAAACUCAGAAACAACGUCCCAGUUCGGACUGCAGGCUGCAACUCGCCUGCACGAAGUCGGAAUUGCUAGUAAUCGUGGAUCAGCAUGCCACGGUGAAUACGUUCCCGGGCCUUGUACACACCGCCCGUCACACCAUGAGAGCCGGGGGGACCCGAAGUCGGUAGUCUAACCGCAAGGAGGACGCCGCCGAAGGUAAAACUGGUGAUUGGGGUGAAGUCGUAACAAGGUA